rnacentral:lncRNA from 1 species
UAGGUUCUAGCCGGAGCUCUUCCUUCAGAUCUAACUGCUGCAUCUCUGGCUACAUUCUUACUGCUUAUUUCACUUCCAGCUUUUCUCGGAUACCUUCCCCUCGAGUCUGCACCACUAGAUUUUACAUUCUGAAAUUUUUCUUUCUCAGCUCUCUCUGGGCAGUCUCUAAUAAAAUGAUCUGGAGAACCACAUCGAAAACAUUCAUUUAC